rnacentral:rRNA from 1 species
UUAAUACCGCAUACACUCUAUGGAAGAAAAGCGAGGGAUCUUCGGACCUUGCGCUAUUGGAUGAGCCUAUGUCGGAUUAGUUAGUUGGUGGGGUAAAGGCCUACCAAGGCGACGAUCCGUAGCUGGUCUUAGAGGAUGAUCAGCCACAUCGGGACUGAGACACGGCCCGAACUCCUACGGGAGGCAGCAGUGGGGAAUAUUGCACAAUGGGCGCAAGUCUGAUGCAGCUAUGCCGCGUGUGUGAAGAAGGCCUUAGGGUUGUAAAGCACUUUCAGUAGUGAGGAAAAGUGUUGUGUUAAUAGCGCAAUGCUGUGACGUUAGCUACAGAAGAAGGACCGGCAAACUCCGUG